GGGGUUAUAGCUCAGUUGGUAGAGCGCUUGCAUGGCAUGCAAGAGGUCACGGGUUCAACUCCCGUUAACUCCACCA
rnacentral:tRNA from 1 species